AGAGUUUGAUUAUGGCUCAGAUUGAACGCUGGCGGGAUGCUUUACACAUGCAAGUCGAACGGCAGCACGGACUUCGGUCUGGUGGCGAGUGGCGAACGGGUGAGUAUUAAUAUCGGAACGUGCCCUAGUAGCGGGGGAUAACUACGCGAAAGCGUAGCUAUUACCACAUACGCCCUUCGGGGGAAAGCGGGGGACCUUCGGGCCUCGCACUAU
rnacentral:misc_RNA from 1 species